rnacentral:rRNA from 1 species
AACGAACGCUGGCGGCGCGUCUUAAGCAUGCAAGUCGAACGGCAAGAUUUGUGCUUGCACAAAUCCUAGAGUGGCGGACUGGCGAGUAACACGUGGGUGACAUACCCUUCAGUUGGGGAUAGCUAUUAGAAAUAGUAGAUAAUACCGAAUACGACCGUAGUUGUUAGAGGACUACGAGGAAAGUAGCUAAGGCUAUGCUGAAGGAUUGGCCCGCGGCCCAUUAGCUAGUUGGUGUGGUAAAGGCAUACCAAGGCGAUGAUGGGUAUCCGGCCUGAGAGGGUGAUCGGACACAUUGGGACUGAGAUACGGCCCGGACUCCUACGGGAGGCAGCAGCUAAGAAUAUUCCGCAAUGGACGAAAGUCUGACGGAGCGACGCCGCGUGAACGAAGAAGGUGGAAACAUUGUAAAGUUCUUUUAAUUGAGAGGAAUAAGCUUUGUAGGGAAUGACAGAGUGGUGACUGUAUCAAUUGAAUAAGCAACGGCUAAUUACGUG